rnacentral:rRNA from 1 species
AGAGUGAACGCUGGCGGCAGGCCUAACACAUGCAAGUCGAACGGCAGCACAGGGGAGCUUGCUCCCUGGGUGGCGAGUGGCGGUCGGGUGAGGAAAACGUCGGAAUCUGCCUAUUUGUGGGGGAUAACGUAGGGAAACUUACGCUAAUACCGCAUACGACCUACGGGUGAAAGCGGAGGACCUUCGGGCUUCGCGCAGAUAGAUGAGCCGACGUCGGAUUAGCUAGUUGGCGGGGUAAAGCCCACCAAGGCGACGAUCCGUAACUGGUCUGAGAGGAUGAUCAGUCACACUGGAACUGAGACACGGUCCAGACUCCGUACGGGAGGCAGCAGUGGGGAAUAGUUGGAC